GUGCUGGAUCCGGGACUCUCUGGU
rnacentral:piRNA from 1 species